CGAAACGGGUCAUCCAGCUCGGUAAAUUGCAUAUGAAUGCUUAAACCCCCAAGACCCAAACCCAAACCCUGCAUCUUCUUCGGAGGCUAGUUUGUGCCUCUCUCAACUCUUGCAGUCUUUCUUCUCCUUUCAGCUUCAAAAGACGUCACAAUGGAUAGAAAGGCUCGUGACAGUGACAAUGAGUUCAAGGACGAAGGCGAUUUCGACAACGAUGAGCUGAGUGUUUUUUAUUUGUAAAUUCUGUUAUUGGGUUUUGGUAAUCAUUCGGUUUUGUUUUGGUGAUUUUGUUGUUAUUUGAUGAUUUGUGAUGUAGAUGGAGCAGGAAGAGGAUGACCUUGAUGAUGAGCAGGCGAGGAGGAAGAAGAUGGAGGAGAAGUGGGGGAAGAGGAAAAUGGUGAUGGGCAAAA